rnacentral:rRNA from 1 species
AGCGCAGGCGGUUUCUUAAGUCUGAUGUGAAAGCCUUCGGCUUAACUGGAGAAGAGCAUCGGAAACUGGGAGACUUGAGUGCAGAAAAGGACAGUGGAACUCCAUGUGUAGCGGUGAAAUGCGUAGAUAUAUGGAAGAACACCAGUGGCGAAGGCGGCUGUCUGGUCUGUAACUGACGCUGAGGACUCGAAAGCGAUGGGUAAGCGAACA